CGAAACUACAGUGACUUAUGAGUCACAACCAAGCCUCAAGAAUUGGACUUAACUUACGGAGUAGCAUGGAACAAUGAGUCAAACAAGGCAUGGAGCCCAAAAAUCCUGUCAAGAGGAAAUCUAAAAUACAAAAUACUUCAUGGACAAUAAAAGCGCCGACCCGCCAAGGCAUAGACUCUACAAACCACAGGACACUUUCUGGGGUCAUCUGCCACCACGACAUGAGCAGCAGAUACUUCAGGUCCAGUAAGUUGCGAGGUGGAACCGCCAUUGAUCUGACUUGGUCUAGUACAUUUCACAGAUGCUCAAUCUGAUUGAGAUCUAGGGAAUUUGGAGGCCAGGGCAACACCUUGAACUCUAAUAUUUGCCAAAAUGCAUUUCCUUCAUACACUGGCAAAAUAAAAUCUGGAGCCAAAUAUAUAGACCUUAAUGAUAACGAGGCACAUUGUUUCAUUCAGACAUCACAUAUUUCAU